GCCGGCUUAGCUCAUCUGGUAGAGCAGCGGUAUCGUAAACCGCAGGUGGUCGGUUCGAGUCCGACAGCCGGCUCCA
rnacentral:tRNA from 2 species